rnacentral:rRNA from 1 species
AGAGUUUGAUCCUGGCUCAGAUUGAACGCUGGCGGCAGGCCUCAAUACAUGCAAGUCGAACGGUAACAUGGAAGUAGCAAUACUUUUGAUGACGAGUGGCGGACGGGUGAGUAAUAUUUGGGAAUCUACCUAUCAGAGGGGGAUAGCAACUGGAAACGGUUGAUAAGACCGCGUACGCUCUGAGGAGGAAAGUAAUGGGAUCGAAAGACCAUUAGCUGAUAGAUGAGCCCAAACGGGAUUAGCUAGUAGGCGGGGUAAGAGCCCACCUAGGCGACGAUCUCUAGCUGGUUUUAGCGGAUGAUCAGCCACAUUGGAACUGAGACACGGUCCAAACUCCUACGGGAGGCAGCAGUAGGGAAUAUUGCACAAUGGAGGGAACUCUGAUGCAGCCAUGCCGCGUGUGUGAAGAAGGCCUUCGGGUUGUAAAGCACUUUAGUUUUCGAGAAAGGGUGCAAUUCGAAUAGGGUUGUAUUCAGAUGUUAGAAAAAGAAUAAGUACCGGCAAACUCCGUGCCAGCAGCCGCGGU